CAUAGCUGCCAAUGUUCGUUCAUAAAGCACUAAUUCCAUAGCUGCUAUAGUCUAUUCAUCGGGUACUAAAUCCAUAGCUACCAGUCUUUAUCUAAUAGGUACUAAGUCCAUAGCUACCAAUGUUCAACAGGUACUAAGUCCAUAGCUACCAAUUCCUACAGGUACUAAAUCCUUAGCUACCAGCGUCUAACUAAUAGGUACUAAGUCCAUAGCUACCAAUUCCCAACAGGUACUAAAUCCAUAGCUACCAACGUCUAAAAGGUACUAAGUCCAUAGCUACCGGUGUUCGUCUCAUAGGCACUAAGUCUAUAGCUGCCAAUAUAUACUCACGUCAUCUUCUAUCUCUCAUCAUUCAUCUACCCAUCUCAUACCCAACAUAUUCGUAUAUAUAAAAUACGUAUACAGUUUAAAUCCUUUAAAACAUGUAUAAAACGUUCAUCCAACAUAGACAGCAAGUAUUCAGAUAAUAUGCACACAUAGCACGUAGUUUAUAUAAAAUACUUCAUAUCUAUGUGUAAGAUGAAAGGGACUAUGCACUCACCUGAGUAGGUGGUGACUCAGUACUCGGACAGCGCUUCGAUACUCUCAAAACGAUAUUCCUUCGAUAAAACCUAGUACCAAUACCACUAGAGUUUAGUUUAACGAUAACCGCG
rnacentral:lncRNA from 1 species